rnacentral:rRNA from 1 species
AUUGAACGCUGGCGGCAGGCCUAACACAUGCAAGUCGAGCGGAUGAAGGGAGCUUGCUCCUGGAUUCAGCGGCGGACGGGUGAGUAAUGCCUAGGAAUCUGCCUGGUAGUGGGGGAUAACGUCCGGAAACGGGCGCUAAUACCGCAUACGGCCUGAGGGAGAAAGGGGGGGAUCUUCGGACCUCACGCUAUCAGAUGAGCCUAGGUCGGAUUAGCUAGUUGGUGGGGUAAAGGCCUACCAAGGCGACGAUCCGUAACUGGUCUGAGAGGAUGAUCAGUCACACUGGAAGUGAGACAAGGUUCAGACUCCUACGGGAGGCAGCAGUGGGGAAUAUUGGACAAUGGGCGAAAGCCUGCUCCAGGCAUGCCGCGUGUGUGAAGAAGGUCUUCGGAUUGUAAAGCACUUUAAGUUGGGAGGAAGGGCAGUAAGUUAAUACCUUGCUGUUUUGACGUUACCAGCAGAAUAAGCACCGGCUAACUUCGUG